AGGAUUCUGCUUCUUGGACCCCACGGUGCUGCAGGUCACCCCGGAGGGCAGCCUCCCUCCCACAGUGCUCAGGCUUCUGCAAUGAGAGGAAAGUGGCUUAAGAUAAAAGCUGAGAGUUUUAUUCCUGCCUUUAUCUCUGGCCUGCUGUGCAUCUCUGUGGAAACUACACUUGUGUUCAUCUUCUCAAUGACAACUUGUGUUCAUCCUAUGCAAUGACAAUCGUGUUGGACUGCUUUGUGCCCUGCAGGAAUGACCAGAGUUGUUUAAAGGAGUUUGGAUGGGAUGGUGGGAGAUGCCAGCAAAGUUACCUGAUCAUGGGAUGCUCUCCUUGACAGCCUAUUCAAUCUUCAGGUCAGGCUAUCUAGGAACUUUUCAGCUGCUGGCACAAAUCUGAAUAGCCUAAAAGCUCCUCUGGCUCCUCUCCAUCCUAAGGAUGGGACACAACAGACUGUUGUGUGGGUUAGAGACAACAAGAACGUGCGGCUGCUGCGUUACUACACUUGGUGUUUUGGGCAAGUUCCCUGUACAGUGUAACCCUGAAGAGACAUGGAGCUGCGAUUCUGUGGGUCCCCUGUGGCACAGCUUGCUGCUGACAGGCAUGAUUUUUGGUGUUCCAGCGGUAGACAACAGCACGCCCCCAAUAAAGCCAAGGACUUUAAGCAGCUGGGAUUCUCACAGUUCUCUCGCUGCCUUCUGAUGAACGAACUUUUUAUAGGAGUGAAAUAUGAUUCUCAUUUUGGUUUUAUGCUAAACUAUACUUCAAAGCCAGAGGAAAUUCAGUGGUCUUGGGAUGAGAAUGAUUCCCAGAAGACAAUGGAGGAAAAAAGUUCUGGAGGAAAAUGAUAACCCCACAGGCAAAAAGGGUGGUUUAACCAGUGAAUAUUAUAAGGAGCUGUGUGAAAAAACCCUCUGGUGAUAAUUAAAUGCAGCUUAAACUCCUACAAACCUUGAUCAAAAUCCAUCACUGGGAUCAGACUCCCAUUACUGAACAGUACAAGAUCAGCUCUUGCUGAUGAUAGAGAUGAACAACUGCUUGUGGGCAAGUACUACAGUUGCGCCACGGUGAGUGCUCACUGGAAAGCCACCUCCUCAACUGAUUGAAUUGCUUCCAAUUUCAAGCAGAUUAUAUGUAGAAGCUGAGCUUUCUGAAAUGCAUACUAAUACAUUUUUAUGGGCAGUGUGGCAGGCUUGAACGCUGUGCUGCGUCCUCAGAAGCAGCCGCAGACUUAAUUUGAUCAGGAAUUAUUUUUGCCUGACCAAGAUCUUGGCGAUGUGAGCAUACUUUUCCUGCCUGAAUUAUACAUAUUUGCAAGAGAAGCUGUAUGAUUGAAUUAACUGGAAUUAAUGAAGAAGAAGCACAUGUUACACUUGCUCCUGGUCGGGACCUAAAGGCCAGCUGAUAGGAAGGCAGUGGGUGUUGUUGCCUCUCCCUGGUGCAGCAGGGCUUGCAAGUGGGGGUUUUCACAGUGGGGGAAGCAGCAUCUGCUGUGGAAACCUCAUCAGCAGGUGGCAGAGGUGCAAGCACUAAUUGGGCCACAGCUGAAUAAGCCAGGUUUGGUAUGCCAGCCCCCGUGUCUGCAUCCACAUCAGCAUUGCUGGUCAUUCAUUCACUGUAGAGGCUUGGUAUGGGUGUGUGAUGGGCCAGGUUUACAUUGGGAAGUAUGGAGGUGCACUGGCAGAGCUGUUGCAGGCUUGGAGAAUGUUCAUCUCAUGCACAGUGUCUCCCAGGAAACAACCAGAAAGGCCUAGAGGAAAUGAGUGGAAUAAGACAAGGGAAAAUAAUCCCUCAUAAAGCUCUUUGUGAUCCAUUGCUUGCACAAUCUUGUUGUAUUAAAACCAGACUGGUGCACCCCAGGUAAUGUUGAAAAGCACUGCCUUCCCAGCUGGAUCUUAUUGUGUUCCCGCUAGGUUCUAUUGCUUCCUAUUUUUCUGUUUCUUUGCUCAUUUUCUAGGAGGGUUGCACUUUAAGGUCUACAAACCUGUUCUUUCUCACCUUGAAAUUGUAAUUCUAUGUGUGCAGUGCUACUUUCGAUUGCAGAAAAGCAGUCCUGGCUAACAAUCACUGGGAUAUCCCCUUGAAGGCCCUAUUUUGAAGGGCUACAAGACCACUUGCAUAAACAAAUAAAUUUGCUAGGGCAAGUUGCUUGAGAGACAAUGCUUUGCUUUCUGGGGAAUGCAACCAGACUGUGACAUCAGGCCCCAGCUUUCAUGGUGAAAUCACUAAAUUAUGAGAAAUGUAUUUCCUGCAUAUUAGUAGGACCACCUAUGCAGAUAUAUGGAGCAAAAAGGGGUUAUCUUUUAAAAGGAGUAGUCUGCCAUUCUCAAACUGUGAAAGUGUUAUAGUUCAUGGAAACGCUGGGUGUUUGUAGCAGCUCCCUAACUACUCUUCAGCCCAAGGUAGGCUGCAUGGUGGGUAGCCUUGCUGUAAGGUGUCCUUGCAUUGGGAAGAUCAGUUUUUCUUGAAUAACCGUGAUAACAGAGCUUAAUAACAGAAGGCAGCUCUCUGCUGCCUUCUUUGAAUGUACACUCUCAAAAAUAAUCCUGGAAAUAUUCUUUAUUUGAAUAUAUGUUUGGCUGUGAGUGGGAAAACCUGUAAAGAUAAUGAAUUCAUAAAGGAAAAAAAAAAAUCUGUAUGUACUUUCUAUUUAGAAAUAUAGAGUGCUUUUAAAAUAUUCAGAAAAUAUGAAACAUCAUCGGGAAUCUUGCUAGACAGAGCAUUUCUUUAGUACAGAGAGCCUCCAAAACUUUCUAAAGAUAAAUAAACCUGUGCCUCUUUAUGGAUGAUCUUUCAGUUGUGGCUAAGACUUGAUUUAAAAUAAUUGAUUAAGCAUUUCAUCCAUGAAAACCAAAAAGUUUAAUUAAAAAUGUAACAAUGUUAAAGUGAGAUCAUGCUUGACACAUGAAAAAUUAGACAUCAAUGAAAUGACCAAGAGAAGAAGUUUGCAUUAAAAAAAACAUAAAGAGGGAAGCAGAGGUAAGAAGAGACUGAAAUAAAUCUCCCUUCCCUACCAGAAAAAUGUUAUGUUGAUCUCAGGAAGUUUAGACUUUAGUUCCUCCUCUUGUACCAUUGGCCCCUUACGAUGUUUGUUUGUGUGUCCUGAAUAACAAAUAGGAGGAAAAACAAAGCAAAAGUAACCAAAACCCCAAAGCUCUGAUUUUGUGGAUCAUAAAAUACUUUGUUUUGUGAAGAUUACAUUUCUUUUUUUUUCUUCUUGUUUUUUUUUUCACAAGACUGAGGAGUAGGAUGCUUCUUUCUUUCAGUAUUGAUGUACAUCCUGACCCCUCACAUAUUUAAAAUGUCAGAACUCUAGAGAAAGAACUUCCAUGGACUUCAUGGCAGGCACCCUCAGGGAAAAUAUAUGUGGUUUGGGUUAGGGGCAGCCUGCUGGCCACUCUUUGCAUGCCUGCAGUGUCCCAAAGGUGCUGGCAUGCGGCCUCCCCAGCCACCUUUUUUUGUCACAAGAACUCAGUGGGGCUGGGAACCCCACUCUUCUUCAGGCGCUCUUGUGGGCAUGCUCACCCCUCACUGCUGUGGCAUGGAAACCUUAUGCCUCAUCACCUCAUGCUGGAAGUGCUAGAAAAAGGGAUUUUCUUGCUCUUUACUAAUGGUAUUGUGGGUGCAUAUGGGCACGUGUGAUUUUUUUAAAAACAUCAACCAUAAAAAAAAAAGCACUGAAACAGUGUAAUAAGUAUUCUAUUCUAUUUAAAAUGCUACUAGAAAAUUCUUGAUAGCAUGGUAAUUGUAGUAUUAUUUUAUUCAGUCUUGAUGAGAUCUGAAAUGCUGCUGCCAGCUCAGAAGCUUUUCAAAAGAUUUAUGUAGGUCUUAAAUUUUUUUGGAUUGCCUCAGACACUGUAUUUAAUACAACUCCUGAGUCAAAACUCAGACAUUACAUAUGGUAACUAUUUUAAACUGCAGUAUAUAUUAUGAAUUGGUUGUCAUUUGCAGCUUUAAAGGUGACGUGUCUGUUUUCACUCUUUUCCUUUUUUCUCUCUCUCUCCUUUAUUUAUUUAUUUAUUGUUAAAAUGAUAGCCUUUUGAUAUUUGUAACUUACAAUUUGUAAUCCUUCUUUUGCCUGAGAAGUAGAACACACAAAUUCCGCAAUGUUAGGUCUGUGGUCUGGUGGGGCCAAAAGUUUGCUCUGGAGUUUUGACUUGAACUUGGUCUAUUCUGGCCCUCACUGGGAAGGCUGUUGCUGUAAAACUUCAAUUUUAAUUUGAAAUUAAAAUUCAUGUCCUUGACAUUUCUGCCAACUUUUUGUAUCAACUUCAGUGAAGAAUAUUAUCUCUAUGGUAUAUUAAAGGACU